UACAGAGGUCUCAAGCGUUGUUCGGAUUCAUUGGGCGUAAAGGGUGCGUAGGCGGCGCGGUAAGUCGGGUGUGAAAUCUCGGGGCUUAACUCCGAAACUGCAUUCGAUACUGCCGUGCUUGAGGACUGGAGAGGAGACUGGAAUUUACGGUGUAGCGGUGAAAUGCGUAGAUAUCAGGAGGAACACCAAUUGCGAAGGCAGCUCGCUGGGACGUUACUGACGCUGAGACGCGAAAGCGUGGGGAGCAAACAGG
rnacentral:rRNA from 1 species